ensembl:lncRNA
GCGAUGGCUUUUGACGUCACUUCAUCAGGAAGUAAACAACAAUGGCUGUACGUUGUACUAAUAAGUUGCACUACUCGUUUUUAUUCCUAUUUGUAUUGGUGUGUGUUUUGUUUGGGAAGUCGGCCAGCUCUUUGACUUCAGAUAAACCUGGACAUGGUGAAUUCAAACAUUUCCGAAGUUUUCGAAGUGUUUCAGAGCCUACAGCUCCACCACCAGGGGUCAGGCUGCACCCCGGUGUCGUCGCCUCCGUCGUAAUCGUCGCAACUGCUGCAAUAGUGGCUGCAUUUUUUAUUAUUAGGAAAUACUGUUUCCCGCAGAGAGCUGAGGAAUCAGUUCAGCUUUGGUAAUUUUGC